rnacentral:rRNA from 1 species
CUACGGGAGGCAGCAGUGAGGAAUAUUGCACAAUGGGGGGAACCCUGAUGCAGCAACGCCGCGUGGAGGAUGACGCAUUUCGAUGUGUAAACUCCUUUUAUAUGUCAAGAAGAUGACGGUAGCAUAUGAAUAAGCACCGGCUAACUCCGUGCCAGCAGCCGCGGUAAUACGGAGGGUGCAAGCGUUACUCGGAAUCACUGGGCGUAAAGGACGCGUAGGCGGGUUGGAAAGUCAGGUGUGAAAUCCUACAGCUUAACUGUAGAACUGCACUUGAAACUUCUAAUCUAGAGUAUGGGAGGGGGAGAUGGAAUUAGUGGUGUAGGGGUAAAAUCCGUAGAUAUCACUAGGAGUACCUAAAGCGAAGGCGAUCUCCUGGAACAUUACUGACGCUAAGGCGUGAAAGCGUGGGGAGCAAACAGGAUUAGAUACCCGAGUAGUC